GCGCCCGUGGCUUAGUGGAUAAAGCGCGAGAUUGCGGAUCUCGAGACCGCAGGUUCGAAUCCUGCCGGGCGCA
rnacentral:tRNA from 1 species